UACGGGGGGAGCAAGCGUUGUUCGGAUUUACUGGGCGUAAAGGGCUCGUAGGCGGCCAACUAAGUCGGACGUGAAAUCCCUCGGCUUAACCGGGGAACUGCGUCCGAUACUGGAUGGCUUGAGGUUGGGAGAGGGAUGCGGAAUUCCAGGUGUAGCGGUGAAAUGCGUAGAUAUCUGGAGGAACACCGGUGGCGAAGGCGGCAUCCUGGACCAAUUCUGACGCUGAGGAGCGAAAGCCAGGGGAGCAAACGGG
rnacentral:rRNA from 1 species